rnacentral:lncRNA from 1 species
GUUUUCCUUUAUCAACAGAUUAUGGGGAAUGCUUGCAUUCCUUUUAAUCCAGCCAUUAAAUCCUUUCUAUAUCUAGUGUUCCAUCAAUUUACACAAUGUCAGCUUGUUAAACUUUAAUAACAAUCUAAGUCAAAAUCUUGUGUUUGAUUUUAAAUGCCAACUUCUAUUUUGGUAUUUUCAGGACAAAUGGUGUAGGGGG